CCCGGUCCUCGGUAGUGGCCUUCAGACCAGCCCCGUCAGGGGCACGCUGCGGGCCUCGAUCGAAGACCGGC
rfam:Nocardioides sp. Soil774 contig_4, whole genome shotgun sequence.